rnacentral:lncRNA from 1 species
UGUGUGCGCGCAGUCCGCGCGCUGAGUGUGGCCGCCGGGACCCAGCAGCCCGCCGCCCGCCCGGUGUCUCUCCUUCCCAGCUCCUCAGCCACCUCACAGGGCCUUCCACCACCCAUCCCUUGGCUUUCCGGCCUCCGCUCAAAGUUUCCUUGGCGCAGACGCUUGGGCGCAAGGGCUGUAGCCAAGACGCCUUGGUGGUGGAGCGCGAUCCUCGGCGUGGCUCUGCUGCCAGCACCUGCUCUGCACCGAACCUGCCUGAGCGCAGGUUUUCUUCCCACUUGGCGGGAGCAGGGGGAGGGGUGCGGUGGCGAGAAUCAGAGAGGAGCCCCGGCUCCUGA